rnacentral:rRNA from 1 species
CGAGCGGUAACAGGUGUAGCAAUACAUGCUGACGAGCGGCGAACGGGUGAGUAAUGCUUCGGAAUCUACCCAGUAGUGGGGAAUAACCAGCCGAAAGGUUGGCUAAUACCGCAUACGAACUACGGUUGAAAGCAGGGGAUCGCAAGACCUUGCGCUAUUGGAUGAGCCGAAGUCGGAUUAGCUAGUUGGUAGGGUAACGGCCUACCAAGGCGACGAUCCGUAGCUGGUCUGAGAGGACGACCAGCCACACUGGGACUGAGACACGGCCCAGACUCCUACGGGAGGCAGCAGUGGGGAAUAUUGGACAAUGGGGGAAACCCUGAUCCAGCGACGCCGCGUGUGUGAAGAAGGCCUGCGGGUUGUAAAGCACUUUUAGUGGGGAUGAAAAGCUCGGGGCUAACACUCCCGGGUCUUGACCUAACCCAAAGAAAAAGCACCGGCUAACUCUGUGCCAGCAGCCGCGAUAAUACAGAGGGUGCAAGCGUUAAUCGGAAUUACUGGGCGUAAAGCGUGCGUAGACGGUCAUGUAAGUCGGGUGUGAAAGCCCCGGGCUCAACCUGGGAAUUGCAUUCGAGACUGCAUGGCUAGGAUGCGGAAGAGGGAAGCGGAAUUUCCGGUGUAGCGGUGAAAUGCGUAGAUAUCGGAAGGAACACCAGUGGCGAAAGCGGCUUCCUGGUCCAGCAUCGACGUUCAGGCACGA